rnacentral:rRNA from 1 species
ACAGAGUUCUGCUAGUGGCAGACGGGUGAGUAGUACAUGGGAAUCUACCUUGCAGUGCGAAAUAACAGUUGGAAGCAAUUGCUAAUGUCGCAUAUAGCCGAGAGGUGAAAGAUUUAUCGCUGCAAGACGAGCCCAUGCAGGAUUAGCUAGUUGGUGAGGUAAUGGCUCACCAAGGCAACGAUCUUUAGUUGGUCUGAGAGGAUGAUCAGCCACACUGGAACUGAGACACGGUCCAGACUCCUACGGGAGGCAGCAGUGGGGAAUAUUGGACAAUGGGCGCAAGCCUGAUCCAGCGACGCCGCGUGAGUGAAGAAGGCCUUCGGGUUGUAAAGCUCUUUUAGUGGGGAAGAUAAUGACGGUACCCACAGAAAAAGCCCCGGCUACCUUCGUGC